rnacentral:rRNA from 1 species
CAGCCGCCGCGGUAAUACGGAGGGUGCAAGCGUUAAUCGGAAUUACUGGGCGUAAAGCGUGCGUAGGCGGUUCGUUAAGUCUGUUGUGAAAGCCCCGGGCUCAACCUGGGAAUGGCAAUGGAUACUGGCGAGCUAGAGUGUGUCAGAGGGUGGUGGGAUUCCCGGUGUAGCGGUGAAAUGCGUAGAGAUCGGGAGGAACAUCAGUGGCAAAGGCUGCCAUCUGGGACAACACUGACGCUGAGGCACGGAAGCGUGGGGAGCAAACAGGAUUAGAUACCCCAGUAGUCCCUGUCUCUUAUAC